rnacentral:rRNA from 1 species
UACAGAGGGUGCGAGCGUUAAUCGGAAUUACUGGGCGUAAAGCGCACGUAGUCGGCUUUGCAAGUCGGGUGUGAAAUCCCCGGGCUUAACCUGGGAACUGCAUUUGUGACUGCAUAGCUAGAGUACGGCAGAGGGGGAUGGAAUUCCGCGUGUAGCAGUGAAAUGCGUAGAUAUGCGGAGGAACACCGAUGGCGAAGGCAAUCCCCUGGGCCUGUACUGACGCUCAUGCACGAAAGCGUGGGGAGCAAACAGG